GACGAACGCUGGCGGCGUGCUUAAUACAUGCAAGUCGAACGGAAAGGCCCUGCUUUUGUGGGGUGCUCGAGUGGCGAACGCGUGAGUAUCACGUGUGUAACCUGCCCUUGACUUUGGGAUAUCUUCUGGAAACUGGGGCUCUUACCGCAUAGGAUCUCCUGCUGCAUGGUGGUGGUUGGAAAGUUUCGGCGGUUGGGGCUGUUCUCGCGGCUUAUCAGCUUGUUGGUGGGGUAGUGGCUUACCAAGGCUUUGACGGGUAGGCGGCCUGAGAGGGGUACCGGCCACAUGGGGACUGAGAGAGGGAGCAGACGGGAACGGGAGGCAGCAGUGGAGAAUAUUGCAGAAGGGGCGGAAGCCAGAGGCAGCAACGCCGGGUGCGGGAAGACGGGCUACGGGUGGAAAACCGAUGUCGCCGGAGACGAAGCGAGAGUGACGGUAAUGGGUAAAGAAGCAACGGCUAACUACGUG
rnacentral:rRNA from 1 species